AGUGAACGCUGGCGGUAGGCCUAACACAUGCAAGUCGAACGGCAGCACAGUAAGAUCUUGCUCUUACGGGUGGCGAGUGGCGGACGGGUGAGGAAUACAUCGGAAUCUACUUUUUCUUGGGGGAUAACGUAGGGAAACUUACGCUAAUACCGCAUACGACCUACGGCUGAAAUCAGGGGAUCUUCGGACCUUGCGCGAUUGUAUUAGCCGAUGUCGGAUUAGCUAGUUGGCGGGGUAAAGGCCCACCAAGGCGACGAUCCGUAGCGGGUCUGAGAGGAUGAUCAGCCACACUGGAACUGAGACACGGUCCAGACUCCUACGGGAGGCAGCAGUGGGGAAUAUUGGACAAUGGGCGAAAGCCUGAUGCAGCCAUACCGCGUGGGUGAAGAAGGCCUUCGGGUUGUAAAGCUCUUUUGUUGGGAAAGAAAAGAAGCAGGUUAAUACAUCGAUGUUCUGACGGUACCCAAAGAAUAAGCACCGGCUAACUUCGUG
rnacentral:rRNA from 1 species